rnacentral:misc_RNA from 1 species
GAUGAAGAACGUAGCGAAAUGCGAUAAGUAAUGUGAAUUGCAGAAUUCAGUGAAUCAUCGAAUCUUUGAACGCACCUUGCGCUCUUUGGUAUUCCGAAGAGCAUGCCUGUUUGAGUGUCAUGAAAAUAUCAACCUCGACUUGGGUUUUGUGCUCUAGUCUCGGCUUGGAAUUGGGUGCUUGCCGCUUUAACGAGCGGCUCACCUUAAAUGUAUUAGCUGGAUCUGUCUUUGAGACUUGGUUUGACUUGGCGUAAUAAGUAUUUCGCUAAGGACAUUCUUCGGAGUGGCCUCGUUUCUAGGACGCUUGUCCGCUUUCCAAUACAAGUUCCACCUCGUGGACAUGACUUUUUAUUAUCUGGCCUCAAAUCAGGUAGGACUACCCGCUGAACUUAAGCAUAUCAAUAAUCGGAGGA